GACGAACGCUGGCGGCGUGCUUAACACAUGCAAGUCGAACGGUAAGGCCCUUCGGGGUACACGAGUGGCGAACGGGUGAGUAACACGUGGGUGAUCUGCCCUGCACUUCGGGAUAAGCCUGGGAAACUGGGUUUAAUACCGGAUAGGACUCCUGGCUUCAUGGUUGGGGGUGGAAAGCUUUUUCGGUGUGGGAUGGGCCCGCGGCCUAUCAGCUUGUUGGUGGGGUAAUGGCCUACCAAGGCGACGACGGGUAGCCGGCCUGAGAGGGUGACCGGUCACACUGGGACUGAGGUACGGCCCAGACUCCUACGGGAGGCAGCAGUGAGGAAUAUUCCACAAUGGGGGAAACCCUGAUGGAGCGAUGCCGCGUGCAGGAAGACGCUUUUCGGAGUGUAAACUGCUUUUAAUAGGGAAGAUUAUGACGGUACCUAUAGAAUAAGGACCGGCUAACUACGUGCCAGCAGCCGCAGUAA
rnacentral:rRNA from 1 species